UUUUUUUUUUUUUUCUGUCAACCGUAGGAUUGCAUUCCUCUUUGACGGUGAUCGUGCGGGAGCAUAUCUUGUCUUGCCUUAUCAAUCGCGACUUCGCGAGAGCAAAGCUGGAAUGCCAGAACGUCCACGAUCGCGCAUCGAUGGUCGAAGCGAACGGCUGCUUCCCUCCCUCCGCCUGCGAAACGCUGCGUCCUGUGUGGGCCCGGUCCUCGAAGCGUCGUAAACCUGCUCGGCUGCUCCGUCUCCGUCCGCCGGGUUUCACGAGGUCUGCCUUCUUCGCCUGGAGGAGGUGAGGCGAAGAAGAGCACGUUUUGAGGAAAUGCAGACCAUAAAGCGCUUGCCAAAGAGUGUCCAUAGUUCCUUGCGCUCAGGUGUUAUUCUGUCUGACCUGCCAAGGGUUAUUGAGGAGUUGAUAUAUAAUAGCAUUGAUGCAAAUGCGAGUAAGAUUGACAUUGCAGUAAACAUCAGAGCUUGUUAUGUAAAAGUGGAAGAUGAUGGUUGUGGUAUUACACGAGAUGAACUGGUUCUCUUGGGAGAAAAAUAUACAACAUCCAAAUUUCAUGUGAUGGUCGACGAGGAGCUCAGUUUUAGAAGUUUUGGACUAAAUGGUGAAGCACUCGCAUCACUUUCCGAUAUCUCUGUGGUUGAAGUCAGGACGAAAGCUCGUGGGAGACCAAAUUCAUAUUGCAAGAUAAUAAAGGGAUCUAAAUGCUUACAUCUGGGGAUAGAUGACAAGAGGGAAGUUGUCGGCACCACUGUCGUUGUUCGGGAGCUUUUUUACAAUCAACCAGUACGGAGGAAACAAAUGCAAUCUAGUGAGAAAAGAGAACUACAUCAUGUGAAGAAGUGUGUCCUUCAAAUUGCGCUUAUUCAUCCACAGAUUUCACUCAGACUGCUUGAUAAUGACAGCGAAGAUGAGCUGCUAUACACAGAAAUUUCUUCAUCCCCUUUGCCUCUUAUAUCAAAAACUUUUGGGGAUGAUAUCUCCAGAUGUCUCCAUGAGAUAACUGCCUCUGACCAGGUCUGGACUCUUUCAGGUCACAUAUCUGGGCCUGCAGAUGUGUUUUGUACGAAGGAUGCCCAAUACUUGUAUAUCAACUCAAGAUUUGUGAAUAGGAACCCAAUUCAUAAUAUGCUUAAUAAUCUGGCAUCUAGUUUUCGAUCUCCCAUUACAAGGGGGUAUGCAGAAAUUGAUGUUCAGAGCAGGAAGAGGCAGAAGGCUGAUAUCUACCCUGCUUUUAUACUAAACUUUUACUGCCCUAGAUCCACCUACGAUCUACAUUUUGAGCCUACAAAAACCAUUGUGGAAUUCAAGGAUUGGCGAACUGUCUUGCUUUUCUUUGAGCAAUCUGUCACAAACUACUGGAAGAAGCAUCAACUGCAAUCACCAAAAGUGAAAUUGAAUAAGGGCCUCCUGAAGGAUCAUAAUGUGCAGAACGAAAAAGAGUAUGCUCACUUCGAAAGCACUCAGCAGACGAAUGCAGUCAAAGACACCAACAGUGAUAUGAGUUCCACAAGAGCAACAAGAAAUUCACACUGCUUUUCUUUUGUUAUGGAGCCAUCCAUUCAGAAUGUCUGUUUCUCUGGAAGGAUCACUAAUUCAUGCCGCCCGGAUGACAAUGUUGCCAGUAUUGAUUACAAGUUAGGGUAUAAGCAAAUGCAUUAUCCUGAAAAUGGCAGUUAUAAGUGGUUAGACGAUGGCCCUUCCCAUUUAAAUGAUGAUAUCUCAAGUGUUAACCCAACUUGUUGGAAAAGGCAAAGGACUGAAGGUAUAUUCCAUGAGUAUGCAUAUUCUGGUAAUCUUGUAAUGCUGGAAGAUGUGCCAACUGAAGGUUAUUUUGCUCACGAACAAGAGACUGAGCUGAUUGGUCCAGAAGUUGAAAUACCAGAAUCUUGCUUCAGGGCUCUCAAUAAGCCAAAUGGAAUGACGCCCGAUUUUGUGCAAAAUAAAACCAACUUGAAGGCACAAACCUCAGGCUGGGAUGGAUUAUAUGACAAGUUUGAAAAGUUAAAUGGGGAUUGCUUACUCGAUAAUGGAUUUUAUCAUGAUGGUGGUAGCACUUCCAAGGGCACCUGUCGAGUUUUGAGAAAGUCCAGCACCAGUAAGAAGUUGGGGACUGCAGCUGGAUGUGUUGAAGGGCUAGAGGCUGAUGCUAUUAACCAGAUGAAUUUCCCUGAUAUUCAUGCUCUAUGGAACAGUGACUUGAUAGAUAGGUCGUCCUUCAAGGAUACUUUAAAUCAUUUUUCUCACCCAUCCUUGUUGGCUGAUACACCUUGCAGUCAUCCAAGGACCUUGCACACCCUUAACAGGACAUCAGAUAAAUGCUUUCGUUCUUGGAACUAUGAAAACAUUGACAGCAAUGUUAGAUUUAGCAAUGAUUCAUCUAUUAUAUUUGAAGGAACUAAAAAUUUUGAUAACUUUAACAAUGAAAUACAGUCGCUUAAUUACUUCAAUGAUAAGUGUGGUUCAACCGACCAGCUUGGUUUUGAAGAAGACCUGACAACUUGGAAAUCAAAAUUUGACAUGAGGUUGUCAGUCAAUAUUUCUCCUGAGACAGCAGGUGAUAAUGGUUGUCAUUUGAAUGUUCCUUCUUUGAAUAUUGCAAAUGACAACCUGUUUACUCAAGAUCUGUUGAAUCAACACAACUCUGGACUAAAUCAGAGACUCAGGACUUCGAAGUGUAGUAGAUUUAGAAGUCAUUCUGCUCCACCAUUUUAUAGAGGGAAACUGAAAUUCUCUAGAUUAAAUGUGCCACUGAGCAAACCAAGCACAGAUAGCGAUAAAGAUAUCUGCGUCAAUAACCCGGAAGACAAUGCACCUGGACCUGUGGAUAUCCCAUGUAUUAGUUCAACCCAGCCUAUUCCUGAGACUGAUAGCAGUGAAUUUCCAGACCUAAAUUUUAGUUCUGUGAAAAUGUCUGAAGUUGCAUGUUCUGAUGAGAUCGAGGACUCCACUGCUCAAAUAACUAAAUGGCAAGAUGACCCUGUCCAGCAUACAGCUUUGAACUUGCCACAUGGUCCUUUUGGAUGCUAUGAUGAUAUACUUAGCAUUUCUUCUGGGGCCUUACAUCUCUCUUGUAGCUCGCUAAUUCCUGAAUGUGUUGACAAGAACUGCUUUGAGGAGGCAAGGGUUUUGUUGCAGCUGGACAAGAAAUUUAUUCCCGUCAUAUCUGGGGAAACUAUCCUCCUUGUCGAUCAGCAUGCAGCUGAUGAAAGGAUACGUUUAGAGGAGCUCCGUAGCAAGGUUUUAUCAGAAGGACAUGGAGUUAGUUACUUGGACUCUGAGGAGGAAUUGUCUCUCCCUGAGACUGGGUUUCAACUGUUCCAGAAGUAUGCUGAGCAGAUUCAGAAAUGGGGCUGGAUCAUCAGCGGCGGGAGCAAUUCAUCUGAAUCAUUCAAAAAGAACAUGAACAUUCUGAAGAGACAAGUCCGUCUUGUCACUCUUGUUGCUAGAUAAAAACUGUGAUGUGCUUCUAUGCUACACAGGUUCCAUGUAUUUUCGGUGUCAAAUUGACUGGGAAAGAUCUCAUGGAGUUUAUUUGGCAGCUUGACGAGACUGAUGGAUCGUCAGAUAUGCCCCCAGCAGUUCUCCGUAUUCUGAACUUCAAAGCAUGCAGAGGAGCGAUCAUGUUUGGCGACCCCUUGCUACCAUCUGAGUGCUGUCUGAUUAUUGAAGAACUGAAAGCAACAUCUCUAUGCUUCCAGUGUGCUCAUGGUCGCCCAACCACUGUCCCCAUCUUGAACAUCGCAUCCCUCCACGAUGAGCUGGCGAGGCUCCAAAUGCUGAGUGGAAGGAAGGCAGAGACCUGGCACGGCUUGGGGCACCAUGAGCCCAGCCUUGAGCGUGCUCACAUGCGCCUCGAACGACUGAGAAAGCUACGCCGAGGCCUGUAGCCAUAGUGGUUUGAAUCAGAUAAAAGGGUGUGUGUUUCGUAUAGUUUGUAGAGAAGCGAGUGAAAUCUCAGUGUGCUCUAUAAUUGUACAUAUACUAGAUAUUCAUUCAUGACAAAGAGGUAAAACGGCGCCCAUCACCGUCACCUGACAGGCGAGCGGGGUUUUCCACGGCAUGUUGUAAAGUUUGUACAUUCUGGUUGCCAUGAAAAUCUAUGUAAAAUUCAAUUCAACCGUG